rnacentral:rRNA from 1 species
UACAGAGGUCUCAAGCGUUGUUCGGAUUCAUUGGGCGUAAAGGGUGCGUAGGUGGCGUGGUAAGUCGGGUGUGAAAUUUCGGAGCUUAACUCCGAAACUGCAUUCGAUACUGCCGUGCUUGAGGACUGGAGAGGAGACUGGAAUUUACGGUGUAGCAGUGAAAUGCGUAGAGAUCGUAAGGAAGACCGGUGGCGAAGGCGGGUCUCUGGGCCGAUACUGACGCUGGAGGAGCGAAAGCGUGGGGAGCGAACAGG